AGUGACACAGCACAGUGGUUAAGUGCUUGGCUGCUAACCAAAAGGUUGGUGGUUCAAAUUCACCAGCCACUC
rnacentral:tRNA from 1 species